rnacentral:rRNA from 1 species
CGGCCGCAGUACCCUGACUGUGCUAAGGUAGCAUAAUAAAUUGAUUUUUAAUUGAAGUCUGGAAUGAAUGGAGAAACGAAGAUAAUCUGUCUUGUAAAAAAAUUUUUUAAAUUACUUAUAAGGUGAAAAUGCCUUAAAUAAGAAAAUAGACGAGAAGACCCUAAGAAUUUUAAGAAAUAUAAUUAUUUAUUUUUAUUAAGUCUUUUUACUGGGGCGGUGAAGGAUUAAAAUUAACAUCCUUAUGUUUACUAUCAAGCUUUGUUAAAAUUUAAUAAAUUACCUUAGGGAUAACAGCAUAAUUUUGUAAAAAGUUUGUGACCUCGAUGUUGGACUAGGAAAUUUUAAGACUAGCUGUCAUAAAGAAAAGUUCUGUUCGAACUUUUUCUCCUAC